GAUGAACGCUGGCGGCGUGCCUAAUACAUGCAAGUCGAGCGAACAGACGAGGAGCUUGCUCCUCUGACGUUAGCGGCGGACGGGUGAGUAACACGUGGAUAACCCACCUAUAAGACUGGGAUAACUUCGGGAAACCGGAGCUAAUACCGGAUAACAUGUUGAACCGCAUGGUUCAACAGUGAAAGACGGUUUUGCUGUCACUUAUAGAUGGAUCCGCGUCGCAUUAGCUAGUUGGUAAGGUAACGGCUUACCAAGGCAACGAUGCGUAGCCGACCUGAGAGGGUGGUCGGCGACACGAGAACUGAGACACGGUCAAGACUCCUACGGGAGGCAGCAGUAGGGAAUCUGACGCAAUGGGCGAAAACCUGACGGAGCAACGGCGCGGGAGUGAAGAAGGUCUUCGGAUCGUAAAACUCUGUUAUUGGGGAAGAACAAAUGUGUAAGUAACUAUGCACGUCUUGACGGUACCUAAUCAGAAAGCCACGGCUAACUACGUG
rnacentral:rRNA from 1 species